rnacentral:rRNA from 1 species
GACGAACGCUGGCGGCGUGCUUAACACAUGCAAGUCGAACGGAAAGGCCCUGCUUUUGUGGGGUGCUCGAGUGGCGAACGGGUGAGUAACACGUGAGUAACCUGCCCUUGACUUUGGGAUAACUUCAGGAAACUGGGGCUAAUUCCGGAUAGGAGCUCCUGCUGCAUGGUGGGGGUUGGAAAGUUUCGGCGGUUGGGGCUGGACUCGCGGCUUAUCAGCUUGUUGGUGGGGUAGUGGCUUACCAAGGCGUUGACGGGUAGCCGGCCUGCGAGGGUGACCGGCCACAUUGGGACUGAGAUACGGCCCAGACUGCUACGGGAGGCAGCAGUGGGGAAUAUUGCACAAUGGGCGGAAGCCGGAUGCAGCAACGCCGCGUGCGGGAGGACGGCUUUCGGGUUGUAAACCGCUUUCGCCUGUGACGAAGCGUGAGUGACGGUAAUGGGUAAAGAAGCACCGGCUAACUACGUG